GGAGUUUGGGCCGUGUCUCAGUCCCAAUGUGGCCGUCCGCCCUCUCAGGCCGGCUACAGAUCGUUGCUUUGGUAGGCCGUUACCCCGCCAACAAGCUAAUCAGACGCGUCCCCAUCCCUUAGCGGUGAACCUUUGCUUUCCAUCAGAUGCCAUCCAGAAAGAACAUAGAGUAUUAAUCCGACUUUCGCCGGGCUAUCCUCUACUAAGGGGAAGGUUGGAUACGCGUUACUCACCCGUGCGCCGGUCGCCAUCAACAAAAGCAAGCUUUCGUCAUGAUGCCCCUCGACUUGCAUGUGUUAAGCCUGUAGCUAGCGUUCAUC
rnacentral:rRNA from 1 species